rnacentral:rRNA from 1 species
GAUGAACGCUUUCUUCUUUCCUAAUACAUGCAAGUCGAGCGAACGGACGAGAAGCUUGCUUUUCUGAUGUUAGCGGCGGACGGGUGAGUAACACGUGGAUAACCUACCUAUAAGACUGGGAUAACUUCGGGAAACCGGAGCUAAUACCGGAUAAUAUUUUGAGCCGCAUGGUUCAAAAGUGAAAGACGGUCUUGCUGUCACUUAUAGAUGGAUCCGCGCUGCAUUAGCUAGUUGGUAAGGUAACGGCUUACCACGGCAACGAUGCAUAGCCGACCUGAGAGGGUGAUCGGCCACACUGGAACUGAGACACGGUCCAGACUCCUACGGGAGGCAGCAGUAGGGAAUCUUCCGCAAUGGGCGAAAGCCUGACGGAGCAACGCCGCGUGAGUGAUGAAGGUCUUCGGAUCGUAAAACUCUGUUAUUAGGGAAGAACAUAUGUGUAAGUAACUGUGCACAUCUUGACGGUACCUAAUCAGAAAGCCACGGCUAACUACGUG